AUUUUACACUUUACGUUUCAUUAUCUUUAUUAACUGGAAUCAUAACUAGAAUUUUGAUGCUGUCUAAUUUCAUUCCCUUGAGUUCCUGAAUCACUGUUCUUAUGCAUUGCUUUACGUGUAUCAAGCAGGUGCAAUAAAUGGGACGAUCAUCACUUACGGACAGGUAAGAUUUAGUUGAUUGGGUAGAAUGCUUCCAUUAUGU
rnacentral:misc_RNA from 1 species